GUGGCUGUGGCUCAGUGGCAGAGUGCUUGCCUAGCAUGUAUGUGUGAGGUGCUGGGUUCGAUCCUUAGCACCACA
rnacentral:tRNA from 1 species